rnacentral:lncRNA from 1 species
CCACCUAGGAGUAUAUAGCAGCCACGGUUUGAAACGCAAAAGUUGUUUGUUACUCUUUUUUUGUAUAAUACCCAGGUUUUGGCCCACUAAACUGAAGGAUCCCAUGCCUUCAUUGAAGAAUCUUCUGACUACAGCUACGCGAUCAACAUCCUUACCAACUCGAGCCUCGCACGAGUCCUUGUAUCUUAUGUAGACAAUUGCAAAUAAGUCGAGUCCCUCUUGGGUACUAGUAGUAUCUAUAGCUACUUUGACAAUCUUCAAGUUGGACACAAGAUGGUUCUCAAGGGUGUCCCUAUUCGACGCGGCAACUGCGAGUUUCAAGUAUAGACGAAUCCAAUCAUCAUUCCCUCGCAACUCUGACUUCUUCAGCUGCAAGAAAACAUAUUAAAAAUCACGAGAAGAAAAAAAAAACAAAAAGCAAAGGUGCAAUGUAAGGGUUGGGGGGUGUCUUAGCCUCACAACGUAACAUCGGUUUGAUUUCUUAAAAGGAUUCUUGGGCGGCCACUCAGGAAAGGUAUGGAACAAGUCUUCCACAGGUUUGUGAUCACUGCUUUUUUUGAUUUCACAUAUGUGGGUUUCGCCUAUAAAAGAUCAAAAUCAGCAAUGUGAUAAGACUUGUUGUAUACUAAAAAAACAAAUGAAAUUACCUAGAGGUCUAGCAAUACAGCAAUCCAAAACCAAUUCGCCAUAGCGUAGUUCAUUAACUCUAGUCUGAAAAGUUUGAGGCAACUGGGUAGCUGGAUCAAUAGCUACCAAAGUUAUGUAGUAAGCGGAAGCAGCAGAACCCAUGGACUGGUUGUAUUUCUUAACGCUGCUGAGCUGUAAGUUUUUCCCCUAGUUGAUCAAGAAACAAAGAAAUCGAUUGGGAUAAUAGCAUAUAUAUAUAGAUAAAGAAAGCAGGGGUGGUGGUUAUAAUACCUGGACCAAAUUGUAACGAUGAAGGCCCAACUUGGCAUAAAGGAGGAUUAAGGGGGAACAAGUAUCAUUACAGAUGAAUUCAAUUAGUCCAGGAGCAAAGUCUGGUACUGGAAGACCACUGACAUCGAACCCCUAUGACGACAACGACACAUUAAUUAGACAUGUAACCAACCCCUAGAACUAGAAGCAUAAAGACAAUUAAAAAAUAUUACCUCGGAUUUAUUCACUUCUUCCAAAUAGCUGCUCCUACGGCGAUCAACCUCCUUCCUUGAAUACCCAGACAAGAAAGCAACCAUCGUCGAGCCGCGGAUGCUUUUUUUUUAAAAUUCUUUUCCUCUUCUUUUGGUCGACUUAGGUUAUAUAUAAUGUUAUAUAUUUUUAAGUUUUAUACAUAACUUAUUUUAUUUUUUGUAUCUGAUUAUUUUAGUUAUUUUCCUUAAACAUGAUAAAUGUUUGGGUUACAUAAUUUUAGUUUUUCUAUCUAAAUUUUAUAAAUAAUUUUUUAGUGAUAGCUUUGAAAUUAUGUUAUGUUUUAAUAUAAAAUACACAUUUAAAUGUAAAAUAAAAAUUAUUGAAAGGUUGUAUUAAUAUACAAUCUCACAAAAUAUAUAAUAGUAUAAUUUUAUUUGUUUUAAAAACAGAUUUAUUAAGUUUAUGUAAAUUAUGAUAACAUUUUAGUUAUAACUACGAAAUUAGUUUUUUUUGAAAUUAUGUUAUGCUUUUAUAUUAAAUGAACAAAAGUAUCUGAAAGGGAAAUUGUCACAAAUACUACAUUCAUAGUACCACUUAUUAUGCUUACACUAAUCAUUUUUACCAUCACUUUUAGUGAAGAGUAAAAGAUAUUUAUACCCCUAUGAUUAACUAAUCUAAACCUAGGGUUUAGAGUUGAAGGGUGGAGUGAGGUUUUUGGAACGUUAAAUUUAGGAUUCUAGUAAAUAUAUAAAUAAAUACUUAAAAAGAUAUAAAAUUUUGUUUUAACACCGGAAGUUUGUUUAUCAUAGGGCUGGGCAAAUAAACCGAACCCGAAAAUCUGAACCGAACUCAAUCCGAUAAAAACGAAUCCGAACCGAUCCGAACCCGACAUAAAUACCGAAUGGAUCAUGCUUUUUGGUAUUUUGGGUUAUGGGUAUUAUCCGAACCGAACCCGAACCUAAAUGGAUAUCCGAUAUAACCCGAAACAUAUAAAAUGACAAAUAGAACUUCUACCAAAUAUGAUCUUAAUUCUUAAUAUGUAUCCAAAAUACUUUAAGAUAUUAUUGAACUUCUAAAAUAAUUAUCUAUUACAUAAAGGUUGAUGGUGGAAUGUGGCGGUUGAAGCCUAAAGUUUUUAGAUUUUGUUUUGUUUUCAUUGAAUAAUGUUUCUCAUUUCAUGAGAACUUAGUUUUUGUUUUAUGAUUUCAUUUAUCUUGUUUUCUUUUUAUCACUAACUAUGUUUAUCUUUCGCUUGAUUUUGAAUGAUCACGUUUGAUGUUUUUUCUUAUUUUUGAAUCAAUUUUACUUAUGUUUUGGUUAUUAAAAUAUGUACAAAUCAUUUAUUUUAAAUCCGAAAAACCGAUUUCAUUUAUGUUUUAGUUAUAAAAUAGUUACAAAUCAGGUAUUUUUAAACCGAAUAACCGAUUGGGACCCAACCCGAAAGUACAAUGGGUUAUACCGGUUCUUUGAAGAUUUACUAACCCCGACCCGAACCCGAUAGAACCCGAACCGGUCCCGAACCGAACUUUUAUAUAACCCGAAUGGGGUUGAUUUUGAUAAACCCGAAAAACUAAAACUCGAAUGGAUAAAACCGAAACCCGAUUGGGACCCCGAAUGCCCAUGCCUAGUUUAUCAUUUUGAGAUGAGAUAUAUGCAAUUUCAUGUUGUCUGUGUUUUGCUGAUAAAUAUUAAUAAAAUUUAAUGUCACACUAGAAUUCGAUCCGCGCAACCGCGCGAGUUUUUUUUUUCAUUUAUUUUUAUAUAAAUAUUUUUUUUUCAAUUCAAAAUUGGUAUAUAUUAUAAUAUAUAUGUGUCUAUCAAUUUUUAAAACAUAAUAAGUUUACGGUAUAUUUUUUUCAUUGAAUUGAUUGUUUCAAACUUUCACAUGUUUUUGUAUAUUCUUAUAUAUAUAUUUUUCGGAUUAUUAUUUUAUUGUUAAAAUCGUAAUUAUAUAUAUAAAUAUUAGUAAAAUAUUGUUUUAUCGUCAUAUUUAAAGAUAUUGUAACAUUUCACAAAUUUAAAAAGUUUUUAAAAAAUUAAAAUUUGCGUUUCAUAGAUUUAUUAUCGAGUAAAUAAUUAUACAUUUAGUUUUUGUUUAAUUUUUAAAAUAAACUAUAUUGUUUUAAAUUUUUUUCAUUGGUUUAAUGUAGUAAAUAUUAAUUAUUGUUAGAUAAUAUGAUUUUUGUUAUUUAAAAAAUAAUCAUUAUAAUUUUAAAAGUUAACAUCGACAAAUAUUUAAAUAAUUAACAUAUGAAAAUAUAAUAUUACAAUAUUAAAUUAUAUCUAUUUAAUUUAUAUUAUCAAUAAAUCCAAUGGAUCAUCUAUUGUUUAAAUCCAAUUAAUGAUAACCCAAUAAAAAUUUGUGGCAGGCCCAAAAUUUAAUUGAUAAGAUUAAAGAUUAAAUGUAACAUGACUUUCUAGGAAUAUGUUAAUUAAGGCCAUUUUUAAAAAAAAAUCACUCAUGAAUCAAAGUUGUGACUUCUGUUUUGCACUCUGAUUUUUUUCCCUUUUUGGUAAAAUCAUCUCUGAACGUGAAUUGGCUCAAGAAAAACUUGAUGGAUCUCGUCUUGGGCACACGACGAGACAAGGUAAGGCCACUGUGUCUGUAUGCCUUGAGCCGCCACCUAGGAGUAUAUAACAGCCACGGUUUGAAACGCAAAAGUUGUUUGUUACUCUUUUUUUGUAUAAUACCCAGGUUUUGGCCCACUAGACUGAAGGGUCCCAUGCCCUCAUUGAAGAAUCUUCUGACUACAGCUACGCGAUCAACAUCCUUACCAACUCGAGCCUCGCACGAGUCCUUGUAUCUUAUGUAGACAAUUGCAAAUAAGUCGAGUCCCUCUU